UUUUUAUAGACAUAUUACCGAUGAAUUUUGAUAGAUAGGCUAUAACAAAGGGGUGUUAUUGGUUUGUGUAUUUAGAUAGAUUUAAGAUGCCAAAUUUUCUCUUAAUGGAUUAGUGAUUACUCAACGUCUUAUUAUAGUUGGUAUCAGUAUUUAAUUUAGUAGGCCUUUUGAAUUGAUUAAGCAAUAUGACUUUAGAUAGGUAAAAACGAUACGAAUGCGUAAAUGUAUAUUUUUAGUAGAAAUUGGUUAGAUAUAUAGAAGAAUGCAAUUGAAUCUCCGGAGGGUUGGAUCUUUAAUUGGCUGAAGGUAAACAUUAAAUUCAUCCACAACUAACACUAACACUCGUGUCCUAGCAAUCACUCCUCCUCAACUGCCAACCCCAAACUCAUUCCAUGUAUAAAUAACCUCUCAAUUCUCUAACCCUAACCACAACACACACCACAACAACAAACAAUUUAAACAAAAACAAAAACAAAACAGAAAGUAACAUGAGAUCUCUCUUACUAGCCGUGUGCCUGGUUCUUGCUUUGCACUUUGGUGAAGCAGCCGUUUCCUGCAACACUGCGGUUGCGGAGCUUUACCCUUGCAUCUCCUACGUGCUUCAGGGAGGUAACCCCCCAGACAGCUGCUGCAGCGGUCUCCGAACGCUCAGCAGUCAGGCUCAAACCCCUCCGGACCGUCAGAGCGUCUGCCGUUGCAUCAAAUCUGCCAUAGGAGGAGUCUCUUACACUUCUAACAACCUCAACAAUGCUUUGGCUUUGCCUUCUAAAUGCGGAAUCAAUCUUCCUUACAAGUUCAGCCCUUCCACCAACUGCGACAGGUAAACAAUAACACACAUCUCGCUCUCUCUCUGAUUAAUUAAUGAUCUCAUUACAAUAAUCUAACUAAACCAAGUUAAUUCAUCUUUAAUUUCUCUUUUACAGUAUUCACUGAGACAAGCAGAAAAUUCAUAAAAAAGAAGCUACUACUGCGAGAGCUAAGAACCCAAUAAUAAAUGAGGACAUGGUUUGCUAGUUGCUAAUUUUAAUCAGUGAUGUAUCUUUCGUCAUCUCGAAUCUUUUUAAUAUAUUAUCAACAUCCUAUAAUGUUCUACCAAAAUUAUCUCGAAAAAUUUCUCCACAUAUGCUCAAAUCCUUACACGACAUACAGUUCACUGCGAACUGAACUAGCUUUCCAUAAAUGAAACUCUGAAUCAGAACAUGAUGUAAAACCGAGCUACAACCUAUUAUUUAUGUUUUUG
rnacentral:lncRNA from 1 species